UACGAAGGGGGCUAGCGUUGUUCGGAAUUACUGGGCGUAAAGCGUACGUAGGCGGAUUUGUAAGUAGGGGGUGAAAUCCCCAGGCUCAACCUGGGAACUGCCUUCUAGACUGCAAGUCUUGAGAUCAGGAGAGGCGAGUGGAAUUCCGAGUGUAGAGGUGAAAUUCGUAGAUAUUCGGAGGAACACCAGUGGCGAAGGCGACUCGCUGGACUGAUACUGACGCUGAGGUACGAAAGCGUGGUGAGCAUACAGG
rnacentral:rRNA from 1 species